rnacentral:rRNA from 1 species
UACAGAGGUCCCAAGCGUUGUUCGGAUUCACUGGGCGUAAAGGGUGCGUAGGUGGUGAGGUAAGUCGGAUGUGAAAGCUCGGAGCUCAACUCCGAAAUGGCAUUGGAAACUACCUUGCUCGAGGGUUGGAGGGGGGACUGGAAUGCUUGGUGUAGCAGUGAAAUGCGUAGAUAUCAAGCGGAACACCAGUGGCGAAGGCGAGUCCCCUGGACAACUCCUGACACUGAGGCACGAAAGCUAGGGGGAGCAAACGG